UAAUACGAAGGGGGCAAGCGUUGUUCGGAAUUACUGGGCGUAAAGCGCACGCAGGCGGCGUGACGCGUCAGGAGUGAAAUCCCCGGGCUCAACCUGGGAACUGCUUUUGAAACGGUCAUGCUUGAAUCAUGGAGAGGGUAGCGGAAUUCCGAGUGUAGAGGUGAAAUUCGUAGAUAUUCGGAAGAACACCGGUGGCGAAGGCGGCUACCUGGCCAUGUAUUGACGCUCAGGUGCGAAAGCGUGGGGAGCAAACAGG
rnacentral:rRNA from 1 species